UAUCUGACUAUGUGUGUGUGUAUCUGACUGUAUGUGUAUAUCUGACUGUAUGUGUGUAUCUGACUAUGUGUGUGUGUAUCUGACUGUAUGUGUGUAUCUGACUAUGUGUGUGUGUAUCUGACUGUAUGUGUAUAUCUGACUGUAUGUGUGUAUAUCUGACUGUAUGUGUGUAUCUGACUGUAUGUGUGUAUCUGACUAUGUAUGUGUAUAUCUGACUAUGUAUGUGUAUAUCUGACUGUAUGUGUGUAUCUGACUAUGUAUGUGUAU